GCCGCGCAUGGGCUUCUUUCUAGUUGUGGUGCGCAGGCUCUAGAGCACUUGGGUUCAGUAGUUGCAGCACGUGGGCUCUGGAGUUGUGGUGUGCGGGGCUCUCUAGUUGUGACAUGGGGGCUCCAGAGCAUGCAGGCUCAGUAGUGUGGCAGGCGGGCUCUCUAGGUGUGGCAUGCGGGCUCUAGAGCAUGCAGGCUUAGUUGCCCCACGCAUGUGGGCUCUUAUUUCCCCGACCAGGGAUCGAACCCGGGCCCCCUGCAUUGGCAGCGCGGAGUCUCACCCACUGGACCACCAGGGAAGUCCUGGGAGGCAUCAAAGUUCUGAGAAAGGGGGUCAUUUGGCUGGGGAUGGAGUAGAGAACAGCUGGGGACAUCUCAGUAGUUUGGGGACCAUAUUGUUUUGUUACAGUAUUUGCAUUCCUUCCGCCUGCACUCCAGAGUGUAAGCUGCAGAAGAACAGGCACUGCGUCUCAGCUUUUAUUGCUCCACACCUGACACACCUGCCUGGGACUGUGUACUCUGGACCCAACCCUUGCAGCAAAGACAGCGCCCGGCAGUGGCAUUGGGAUACAGAAUUGACCUCAGCCCGGAAGUGCUCAUAGAGAACCAAGGGAUAAUGAAGGUUGUUCCCAGUGCUGGGGAGACCAGAAGAGGAAUAGAGCUCAUUUCGAGCUUUGAAGGAUGGAUGAGUGGCUGGCAAGAUACCACGAUUGAUCGUGGCACUCUGUCCCUUCAGCCAACCUCAGGAUCCUUCUCAGCACUGGUUUAGGCAGUCACAACCAAUUGUCAUUCCCAAUUCUAUCAAGGUCUUGGUUUUCUCUCUAGCACUGGAUAGUCUACCUUUUAACAAAGAAGGCUAAGGGUCUGAGCCUUGGCAGACAACAAUGUCCAGCUAAAAUUUAUUACCACGUUUUAUUAUACUUAUUUAUUUAUUCUUUUAAAGUAAAUUUAUUUAUUUUUA